GAUAAACGCUGGCGGCGUGCAUGAGACAUGCAAGUCGAACGGACGAUCGAGGCUUGCUUCGAUCGUUAGUGGCGGACGGCUGAGUAACGCGUAGGUGACCUGCCCCGAAGUGGGGAAUAACUGCCCGAAAGGGUGGCUAAUACCGCAUGUGGUGGUGUGUUCAAUCACACCAGUAAAGCCGCAAGGCGCUUCGGGAGGGGGCCUGCGUCCGAUUAGCUCGUUGGUGGGGAACGGCUCACCAAGGCGACGAUCGGUAGGUGGUCUGAGAGGACGAUCACCCAGACUGGGACUGAGACACGGCCCAGACUCCUACGGGAGGCAGCAGUCGGGAAUUUUGCGCAAUGGACGAAAGUCUGACGCAGCAACGCCGCGUGA
rnacentral:rRNA from 1 species